GCAGCGGUAGUUCAGUCGGUUAGAAUACCGGCCCGUCACGCCGGGGGGCGCGGGUUCGAGUCCCGUCCGCUGCG
rnacentral:tRNA from 1 species